rnacentral:rRNA from 1 species
AGCUCCGAUAGCGUAUAUUAAAGUUGCUGCAGUUAAAAAGCUCGUAGUUGGAUUUCUGGCAAGACAACAACGUCGGCAGUUCUGCUUGAACCGCGUUGUCCUGUCAUCCUUCUGUUAACCCCGGAUCUUCAUUGUUGUCCGGGCGCUCAGAUAUUUUACCUUGAGAAAAUUAGAGUGUUUCAGGCAGGCUCGCGCCGGAAUACAUUAGCAUGGAAUAAUAGAAUAGGACUCUGCUUCCUUCUGUUGGUCUGAGGGGCGAAGUAAUGGUUAAUAGGGAUAGUUGGGGGCAUUAGUACUUAACUGUCAGAGGUGAAAUUCUUGGAUUUGUUAAAGACUAACUUAUGCGAAAGCAUUUGCCAAGGAUGUUUUCA